UCCGGAUGUUUGGACACGGUUUAUGGGCAGUCCCAGAAGCUCGUCUGGAUUCCUGCCCGGACGUGUGAUCUUCCCGACACAGCAAGCAGCCCUGAAGCCAGAUCUCACGCUUACACAGGAGGUGCAGCUUGGGCCAGCAACACGUGUCCGCCUUUGUAAACAGGCACACAAGCCAGAGGCCACUGAGUGCCACGUGGGGCAAGAGACUUCGUGGUUUGGGUGAGAACGAGACCCUCUUAAGCUCGUAUGUCUCAACCCUUGGGUUCCCAGUUGGUAAACUGUUUAGAAAGGAUUAGGAAGGUAGCCUUAUUGGUGGAGGUGUGCCACUGGGGCACGCCAGGCCCAGUCUUGUUCUCUUUGCCCACGUUCAUGGGUCAGACUUCUCAGCUACUGCGCCUGCACCAUGAUAUCCGCCUGCGGCCUUGCUUCCCUGACAGGAUGGGCCCGGGCUCGCCCUCUGAAACUGUAUAAAUGGUUUCUUUCCCAAGUCACCCUAGUCAUUGUCUCUGCACAGCAACGAAACAGUUAACCACUACGACAGAGAUGUGACGGUCAGCCUAGGCCACCUGCUCACGGAGUGCUUGUCGUGGCAGCUACUACCCACAGAAACGGCUCCAGGGAACCCGCUGCUCAGCUUCCAGAGACACCAGCAAUGGUUCCCACCUCCCCCGUCCUGUGCUCGGCACGCAUCCGGCCAACCAGGUGACGCCAUGCCUCCUCCAGCCAGUACGGCACCUGACUUAGCCAGUACGGCACCUGACUUAGCGUGUGCUCCUGAGAGGGGCUGCCUGGAAGAACCGACAUCUGUAGGCAGAGAGAUCGUCGUCAAGGGACAGCUCUCCUGCUACAAGGGCAAGAGAGUCCUAUCAUUCACUCAUCCGCUCCUGCCUCCAUCAGCCUCCUCCUCACCUCUCUCCAGGGAAGAGGAAGUCUGUCUAUGUUUACUGAGUAUGUGCGGUUGAGUCAAGAUGAUCAACUCCGCCUUGGAUGCCACACAGACGUCCUCUGUCAACAAUCCCACUCUUUCUGCUGUGGGGUGCGUACGUCUAUGUGGCUGCAGGUGACACAGGCCGGCCUUGCGGCCUCCCCUUCCGCUGCCAGACGCCCGGGGAGCCAGCAGGCUGGCUGCAAAGCUGUGAGGGAAGAAAAUCCGGAGAGCUCAGUUCUGCCUUGUCCCCCACCAGUCGACUCCUCCAGCUGCUGGAGCAGGACCUGCCGGCCACUCUGCAUCUGCCAACAGUGCUCCUGGUGCUCCAGCCCGAGAAGCUUCCUCUAUUAUCAAGGUAGUAGGACCUCAGCCCCUGACUAACCUGGACUGCCACGACCGGUGGGUGGCUUCGCCGUGGGGUUUAGCCUCACAGUUCUGGAAGCCCAUUGGCUGCUGGCAGCCAGUGAUGGGCGAUGGUUCACACUGUCAGUAUCCGGCGGGGUUCGUCCCAAGUGCUGAGGCCACAGCCGUAAGCCUCCAUGCGUGGCUUGCUCUCUUCUCUUACAGAAGCGUCAGCCACGUUGAAUUUAGGAUUCACUCCGAUCCCAUUCCUCCUUAUCUUCACUUGAUCCUGUUUCUAUUAACUCCCGAUUCAUGGGCUCUUUGUGGACACCAAUCUGGGGCAGACACUGUUUAACCCAGUACAGUAGUCUCUGUCAACACAUAGUGGGAGUCCCAUGUCCCGUGAGGAGGAGCUGCCACGAGCUGGUCACCCCCCACCCCCCACCCCCCCUACCGUCUACACUGUCACAUGGUUUUCUGGGCAUCAGGUGUGCCCUGGUGUAGAGUGAUGUCAUUUCCCAGGUGAAAAUGGCGUACGGAUGGCAGCCCUGACUCUGGUUAUGUCUCUCUUUCCUUCUUGACCUUGUACAGUAUGUUUCCUCUCAAUUUCCACCGUGCCUAGUCUCUCCCAGGGGCAUCUUGCAAACUACGGUUCCUUCCAUGUUUUAAGCGUGCCUACACUCUGUCCCUGUCACCUUUCCUCCCAGUCUGGACCCCUGGAGGCAAACGAACCAGCAAAGCUAUCAGGGGCUUUCCUCAGCAGUCAGGCUGGCUUGGGAGGCUACGCUACUCCCACCAUGUGCCAAGGGAGUCGGUUCCUCUUCAAGGAGCAUUUCUGUGUGUGUGUUUUUCCCCUUGCUUUCUGCAUCUGUGAUGACAUUCUGGAAUUCUUAGAGAACCAGUUCUGAAGAGCAAACCCAGGAGCCAAGAAUCUUCGAGCCAGAACGAACUGCUAUGAGAACAAACAGCCAGGGCCUCAGCCCACGGAGUUCGCAGUGUGGGUGGGCUGCUCCUGCUGGCCAACCCCAGCUGCACCGGGAGAGGCUUCGGCAUACACCGAGAGCGGGGGCAGGGGCCCACGGGAUUUACUCGGGCAACGGAUUUCUUGGACAUGGCACCAAAAGCACGGGCAAUGCGAGAAAUGCAGACAGAGCAUCAUCAAAACACAGAACUCUUAGUGCCUCGGGACACAAGCAAGGGAGCAAAAGGACCCACAGGAGAGCUGGAUACGGCCAUAUGUACCUGUAACCCUGGGCUUGGCGGUCCCUCAAGAGCUAAACAUAGAAUUGUCACAUGAUCCAGCAAUCCUACUUCUGGGAAUCAGCAGCAAAGAUUCAGAAGGCCCCUGUUUGCCAAUGAUCGAUUUUUAAAAGAUUUCUUUACUUAUU